rnacentral:rRNA from 1 species
UACGUAGGGGGCGAGCGUUAUCCGGAUUUACUGGGUGUAAAGGGAGCGUAGACGGCAUGGCAAGCCAGAUGUGAAAUACCGGGGCUCAACCCCGGGACUGCAUUUGGAACUGUUAAGCUGGAGUGUCGGAGAGGCAGGCGGAAUUCCUAGUGUAGCGGUGAAAUGCGUAGAUAUUAGGAGGAACACCAGUGGCGAAGGCGGCCUGCUGGACGAUAACUGACGUUGAGGCUCGAAAGCGUGGGGAGCAAACAGG